rnacentral:rRNA from 1 species
UACGUAGGCAGCGAGCGUUGUUCGGAGUUACUGGGCGUAAAGGGUGUGUAGGCGGUUGUUUAAGUUUGGUGUGAAAUCUCCCGGCUCAACUGGGAGGGUGCGCCGAAUACUGAAUGACUUGGAGUGCGGGAGAGGAGAGUGGAAUUCCUGGUGUAGCGGUGAAAUGCGCAGAUAUCAGGAGGAACACCGGUGGCGAAGGCGGGUCUCUGGGCCGAUACUGACGCUGAGGAGCGAAAGCAUGGGUAGCGAACAGG